CAGCCGCCGCGGUAAUACCAGCCCCGCGAGUGGUCGGGACGGUUAUUGGGCCUAAAGCGCCCGUAGCCGGCCCGGCAAGUCCCUCCUUAAAGCCUCGGGCCCAACCCGAGGACGGGGGGGAUACUGCCGGGCUAGGGGGCGGGAGAGGCCGGCGGUACUCCCGGGGUAGGGGCGAAAUCCGUUAAUCCCGGGAGGACCACCAGUGGCGAAGGCGGCCGGCUGGAACGCGCCCGACGGUGAGGGGCGAAAGCCGGGGGAGCGAACCGGAUUAGAUACCCGGGUAGCCCCGGCGGUAAACGAUGCGGGCUAGCUGUUGGGCGGGCUUAGAGCCCGCCCAGUGGCGCAGGGAAGCCGUUAAGUCCGCCGCCUGGGGAGUACGGCCGCAAGGCUGAAACUUAAAGGAAUUGGCGGG
rnacentral:rRNA from 1 species